AGAGUUUGAUCCUGGCUCAGGACGAACGCUGGCGGCGUGCUUAACACAUGCAAGUCGAACGAUGAUGCCAGCUUGCUGGUGGAUUAGUGGCGAACGGGUGAGUAACACGUGAGCAACCUGCCCCUGACUUCGGGAUAACCGCGGGAAACCGUGGCUAAUACCGGAUAUGACGCGCUAUCGCAUGGUGGUGUGUGGAAAGAUUUAUCGGUUGGGGAUGGGCUCGCGGCCUAUCAGCUUGUUGGUGGGGUGAUGGCCUACCAAGGCGACGACGGGUAGCCGGCCUGAGAGGGUGACCGGCCACACUGGGACUGAGACACGGCCCAGACUCCUACGGGAGGCAGCAGUGGGGAAUAUUGCACAAUGGGCGCAAGCCUGAUGCAGCGACGCCGCGUGAGGGAUGACGGCCUUCGGGUUGUAAACCUCUUUCAGUAGGGAAGAAGGCCUUCGGGUUGACGGUACCUGCAGAAGAAGCGCCGGCUAACUACGUGCCAGCAGCCGCGGUAAUACGUAGGGCGCAAGCGUUGUCCGGAAUUAUUGGGCGUAAAGAGCUCGUAGGCGGUUUGUCGCGUCUGCUGUGAAAACGCGAGGCUUAACCUCGCGCCUGCAGUGGGUACGGGCAGACUAGAGUGCGGUAGGGGAGACUGGAAUUCCUGGUGUAGCGGUGGAAUGCGCAGAUAUCAGGAGGAACACCGGUGGCGAAGGCGGGUCUCUGGGCCGUUACUGACGCUGAGGAGCGAAAGCAUGGGGAGCGAACAGGAUUAGAUACCCUGGUAGUCC
rnacentral:rRNA from 1 species